UUAAAGAUGUCCCAGUUUAAGUGUGAAAUAACUUUUUGGUUGUUUAUUUUGAAUAUAAGUUCAUAGAAAUGGACAUGACGUUUUCAUUCAUGAGAGCGAAGAAACAGGGGGUUGAGACCCUCAGAAGUAUUGAAUUGAUCAGGCUAUUUAUACGGCAACGUGACCUAACUUGAUAGCCUUUGGUUUCAGACUCUGGAAUCCUCUCUGCUCAGCAGUUAUUGAAGUGAGGAGAAGGUACAUCUCCAUGGCAACCAGAGUAAAGAAAGUCACACAUUUACUCACCCUCCUCCUAUUUGAAAGAUGACCAACUUCAUGCAUACGUCUGUAUUUUUAUAUAUGAUUUAUUUUAGAG